CCUACGGGCGGCAGCAGUGGGGAAUAUUGGACAAUGGGGGCAACCCUGAUCCAGCCAUGCCGCGUGUGUGAAGAAGGCCCUCGGGUUGUAAAGCACUUUCAGUGAGGAAGAACGCCUGGUGGUUAAUACCCAUCAGGAAAGACAUCACUCACAGAAGAAGCACCGGCUAACUCCGUGCCAGCAGCCGCGGUAAUACGGAGGGGGCGAGCGUUAAUCGGAAUUACUGGGCGUAAAGCGCGCGUAGGUGGCUUGAUAAGCCGGUUGUGAAAGCCCCGGGCUCAACCUGGGAACGGCAUCCGGAACUGUCAAGCUAGAGUGCAGGAGAGGAAGGUAGAAUUCCCGGUGUAGCGGUGAAAUGCGUAGAGAUCGGGAGGAAUACCAGUGGCGAAGGCGGCCUUCUGGACUGACACUGACACUGAGGUGCGAAAGCGUGGGUAGCAAACAGGAUUAGAUACCCCAGUAGUC
rnacentral:rRNA from 1 species